AACGUGUCGCGAUGGAUGACUUGGCUUCCUAUUUCGUUGAAGAACGCAGCAAAGUGCGAUAAGUGGUAUCAAUUGCAGAAUCAUCUAAUUACCGAAUCUUUGAACGCAAAAGGCGCUUGGAAGCAGCUCUUCGUGAGUGAUCUCCAGGCAUGCCGUAUUUCUCAGUGUCGA
rnacentral:rRNA from 1 species